CUAUUCCCUAUAUAGUUCACUAUUAUAGCACCCUAUUCCCUAUAUAGUGCACUACUAUAGCACCCUAUUCCCUAUAUAGUGCACUACUAUAGCACCCUAUUCCCUAUAUAGUGCACUACUAUAGCACCCUAUUCCCUAUAUAGUGCACUACUAUAGCAUCCUAUUCCCUAUUUAGUGCACUACUAUAGCACCCUAUUCCCUAUUUAGUGCACUACUUUGGGAAUAGGGAGACAUUUCAGAUGCAACCAUUGCCGUAUAUGAGACGUGAUGGCAUCAAUUGAGCGCGUGUUAAUGAGCACGUUGAAGUAUUUCAGCUCCUAACCUGUUCUGUGCAUUACAGACUUUCUCUGAAUACCCACUGAUUCCAUGAUAACCUUUAGUAGUCCACUCUGUGAGGGGUUUCUCCUUCACCUUCAUCUGACAGUAUUAUCUAGAAGGAUUUGGUCAGAUACUGAUGUUAAAAAUGGUGCUCUAGACUUUCAUUUAGACUCUGCAUCGUUGGCUUGGAGAGGCAUCAUGUCCAGGCUACGCUCCAACCACUGUCAGUUUAAACUGAGAGGACGGGCUUGGAGAGGCAUCAUGUCCAGGCUACGCUCCAACCACUGUCCGUUUAAACUGAGAGGACGGGCUUGGAGAGGCAUCAUGUCCAGGCUACGCUCCAACCACUGUCAGUUUAAACUGAGAGGACGGGCUUGGAGAGGCAUCAUGUCCAGGCUACGCUCCAACCACUGUCAGUUUAAACUGAGAGGACGGGCUUGGAGAGGCAUCAUGUCCAGGCUACGCUCCAACCACUGUCAGUUUAAACUGAGAGGACGGGCUUGGAGAGGCAUCAUGUCCAGGCUACGCUCCAACCACUGUCAGUUUAAACUGAGAGGACGGGCUUGGAGAGGCAUCAUGUCCAGGUUACGCUCCAACCACUGUCAGUUUAAACUGAGAGGACGGGCUUGGAGAGGCAUCAUGUCCAGGUUACGCUCCAACCACUGUCAGUUUAAACUGAGAGGACGGAAGAGGGUCCCUUCAUCUGUCGACUGUUGUCUCUCAACCCUGUCACUUUUCAGAUUGAUCUGGAAUGUAUUCUAUAAUGGAUGUAUUUUAACAUCAUUGAGUCUCAUAUCAAAAGUAUUAUAACUAGCUAACUAUAUAACAACAACAAAAAUAUGCUAAUUGUACACUUUGAGUCUUUCACUUGUUGUGAAGAUUUCACUACACAGUAUAGCUGAAUGGAAGUUGUUCCUUUUAACAACAACUGCUUCCAUUUCAUUACGAUUCAUAACCAACAAGUCAUUUCUUUUAGAGGUUGUUGAAGUUUGGAACGUUUGAUAUUUAGUGUGUUAUGUGACGAGUGUGAGGAUGGACAGGCCUUGUGGUCUUCUAAAGUGUGAGGAUGGACAGGCCUUGUGGUCUUCUAAAGUGUGAGGAUGGACAGGCC
ensembl:lncRNA